rnacentral:rRNA from 1 species
AAUGUGGAUCUUCCAAAUUUUGCUUCGAGAAUCAAUUGGAGGGCAAGUCUGGUGCCAGCAGCCGCGGUGAUUCCAGCUCCAAUAGCGUAUAUUAAAGUUGUUGCAGUUAAAAAGCUCGUAGUUGUUAGGGUUGGGAAAUUUGAAGAAUCUUCACUGGUCUUCAGACUUCCUAAAAGCUGUUUCAAUCGGCUUUGUGUUACUUUGAGAAAAUUUGAGUGUUCAUCUCGGGCAAAUUGCUUACAUAAUGUACCAUGGAAUAACUCUGUGGCCCUAAUUCUGUCUUUUGGCUUACAUUAUUGGGGUUCGUGGUUGAAAGGAAUAGUUGGGGGCAUUCGUACUGAACAGUUAGAGGUGAAAUUCUUAGAUUUGUUCAAGACGAACCAGUGCGAAAGCAUCUGCCAAGGAUGUUUUCAUUAAUCAAGAACGAAAGUUAGGGGAUCGAAGACGAUCAGAUACCGUCGUAGUCUUAACUGUAAACAAUGCCGACUAGAGAUCGGUGGAAUUCGAAUUGGAAUCCUUCGGCAUCUACAGAGAAAUCAAAGUUCUUGGGUUCUGGGGGGAGUAUGGUCGCAAGGCUGAAACUUAAAGGAAUUGACGGAAGGGCACCACCAGGAGUGGAGCCUGCGGCUUAAUUUGACCCAACACGGGAAAACUUACCAGGUCCGGACAUAGGUAUGAUUGACAGACUGAGAGCUCUUUCUUGAUUCUAUGGGUGGUGGUGCAUGGCCGUUCUUAGUUGGUGGAUUGAUUUGUCUGGUUGAUUCCGACAACGAACGAGACCUUUACUUUCUAAUUAGAUCCAAGACAUACGUGUUUCCUGGGUCGCCUUAGCAGAACUUUGUGCGUUGCAGCACAAUGAAGCACAGGCAAUAACAGGUCUGUGAUGCCCUUAGAUGUUCUGGGCUGCACGCGUGCUACAAUGAAACUUACCAUAAGUUGCGAUGUCGAAAAGCUAUGCAAAUCUUUGAAUGCGUUUCGUGACAGGGACAGUUGAUUGUAAUUUUUCGACUCGAACGAGGAAUUCCUUGUAAUCGUGAUUCAUCAUAUCGCGCUGAAUACGUCCCUGCCCUUUGUACACACCGCCCGUCGCUCCUACCGAUUGGGCGAUCCGGUGAAUUAUUUGGAGUUUUGACGAUUUCUUUCGGAAACCUGCCAAUUCAAAUUUUUGU